rnacentral:rRNA from 1 species
AUUGAACGCUGGCGGCAUGCUUUACACAUGCAAGUCGAACGGUAACAGGCCGCAAGGUGCUGACGAGUGGCGAACGGGUGAGUAAUGCAUCGGAACGUGCCCAGUCGUGGGGGAUAACGCAGCGAAAGCUGUGCUAAUACCGCAUACGAUCUAUGGAUGAAAGCGGGGGACCGUAAGGCCUCGCGCGAUUGGAGCGGCCGAUGUCAGAUUAGGUAGUUGGUGGGGUAAAGGCCUACCAAGCCGACGAUCUGUAGCUGGUCUGAGAGGACGACCAGCCACACUGGGACUGAGACACGGCCCAGACUCCUACGGGAGGCAGCAGUGGGGAAUUUUGGACAAUGGGCGCAAGCCUGAUCCAGCAAUGCCGCGUGCAGGAAGAAGGCCUUCGGGUUGUAAACUGCUUUUGUACGGAACGAAACGGCCUGGGUUAAUACCCUGGGCUAAUGACGGUACCGUAAGAAUAAGCACCGGCUAACUACGUGCCAGCCGCCGCGGUAAGAC